rnacentral:lncRNA from 1 species
AGGCCCUCUUUGCUUCACAUCUGGAUUAUUGCAACAGUUUCUUAGCUGGUCGCUGACUCCAGAGGUUUCCCCUCCCCCAUCCUUCCUUUAUGCUAACGCCUAACUUACUAUAGGAAGUCAAAAAAUAGUUGAGCGCCUUCUUGCUUAUUAAAUGCCAAGAUGCUGUUCCAUGUGGUGGGGGAAAGUAAUUGAAGGAUCACUUAGUCUCCAAAUAGCUUCACAUUAGGUGCCAAGACAUUACCUGUGAAAAGGUAAUUUUGAUUAGACAACGCUGUGUACAGUAGAAUUAACAAGGCAAGAUGGAGGUCACUGUAGGCACAGUGGUCAGGGAGGGCUUAGUGAGGGGGCGGGAUUUGAGCUGGGUGUUAAAGGAUGAGUAGGCUUCAGAUAGGAAAAGAGGAGUCAGGCCCAGUGAUCCUGUGGAGUUAGUGACUAGACCAGUCUCCUGGCAGAAAAGGGCUCAUGUAGAGAGGGGUAGGAGGAAAGAUUGGUUGGGGCUGGUUCCAGAAAGAACUUGAACAGUAGGCCAAAGUUGAAACUAUUCUAAAGGCACUGUUGAGCGACAGGAGACAAGGGGUGGUUCAUGCGCUAGAGCCGGAAGGGAGAGGCUGGAGGCCAGGGGAUCAGCUAGGAGGCAUUGGUAGUUAUACUACUAUUCAAAGCUGAUUGGUGUCCAGCCAUUGCAUGCCCUAUCUGCCCAGGGCUGUCCUUGAUUUAGUCCCACCUCAUCCACCUGAACCUUAUUCCCUGCUUCUUCUCCAAGUCUGGCCCCAGCAGAAGCCAAGUCAUGACUGCCUCUUGGGCUUUGCCCCUGUUGUUCCCCUCCUCUGUGCACAUUCUCCAUUUCACUUCCUUCAAGUCCCUGCUGAAGACAUACUUCCUUCAGAACAUGUUCCCUGACUGCCCUACCCCCAUGCCUUUGUGACACUCAGAUCCAGCACUUGUUCCUUAGUUAUUGAACUUGUUCUUGUCCCAAAUGGAGUGGGAGAUUUUUUAAGGGCACUGGAUUUUUACUACUUCUCUCAGAGCCCUUCUAGUACCUGUAUUUUUUUUAAUAGGUAUUCAGAUACUUUCUGAUUUUUGUUGGUAAACAAUUUUUUAACAUUUAUUUUAGGGAGAAGCUCUUUUAGUUAUUAGUGUUGUCUAUCAUGUUUAACUGAUGUUUAAUGCCAGUCAAGGUGGAUGUUUUCAGCUUUCAUUCUUGGGGUACAGAAAUCUUACAAACAUUAAAAUGUUUAUUCCUGAUCACAGGAAAAGAAAAAUGUCAUAAUUCUUCAGUCAGAAGAUGUGGGGAAAGAUUAUCAGCUUUGCAAUCACACCUUGGUUUGAAUCCCAGCAAGGCUACUUACUAGCUAUGUGAACUUGAGCAAUUUAUCAGAUAUCUCUGAGCCUUCAUUUUUUAUUUGUAGUAUGUAGGAUGAUAAAGACCCUUUCAUAGGAUUUCAUAUGAAUUUUUAAAUGAAAAUGAAAUACAAACAAGGUAGUAAAAUUUGUAUUACCUAGUAACUGCUUAAUACAUUGUCAUUGGGUAUGGUUUUAUCAAGGGGGGGAGUGAUCAUAGGCUACCUGACUGUAUCCCCUGAGUUAUAGAGUUCAGCAUGGCUCUGUAUCUGCCUUGCAGUUGAAGCACUUGUCAAAAAUGUCAGU